UCCUGAUUCUAAUACUUGCUCUUCAAAGAGCUGAGCCAGUCCUUUUCACUGCCUUGGUUUUGUUAAUUUUAAAAUAGGUGGGAGUUUAUUGACUUGUGGAGGAUUAUAAUGGCUUCAUACUUGGAAGAUUGUUAUGGCAUGCUUGCAUCUCCUGCAUACACUUUGAGAAUGACAUUGAAAAAGUGGUUGCAAAGCAUGACUGGGAAACUGUAAGAUGCAUCUUCCAGUGAAGGACUUACAGAACUCCAUUUGUUUAGCUUCAUUGCACAGAAAGGUGGCUAGAAAGAAGCAUAACAAGAAGCAAUGGCUGGGAGUUAAAGCCAGACAAAAUCUAUUUGAAAGUGAAACUGUUGAGUUUGGGGGACAAUGGAUGUGAUUUUAACAGGGAGAGUGGUUAACUGCUGGGAUAAACCAACAAGCCCUUGAAGUUUUCAACAAAGAAGUGACUUUGCAGAAGGAGGAAGCAGAACUCAUGACCACCAGCAAGACUCAAUGGGCUGAUUAUCACCCUCUGCUCUGCACUCUGGCCCAGAGCACCCAGAAAGGCUCCCCCAUCUUAGCAGGCUCAGCUUCAACCAUGGAUUUCUGACUCCUCUCUCCUCAGCCCUGCAGGGUGCAGGGGGCAUGAGAGGUAGGGGGCUGUGCUCAAUGCAUAACACUUUGUGUGAUGCUCCCUCCUCAGACUGGUCCCUGGCUCCAACACUGACCUUUCCAUGGGCUGCAAUCCUUCAGGAAAAAUGGUCAAUGCCUGUGUGUGAUGCUGCUGGCCAGGCCUAGGUGCUGCUCUCCAGUUUUAAACCCUCAUGUUCAUUAUUUGGGGCAUCUGUCUGCUUGAAAACCAGUCUUUAAUUAAUUAUAUUGGAGUAAAUCAGGUAAAUAAUACUGUAUAGUCCAUCCUUCAGGGAAUUUUUGAACAUUUAACAGAGAAAAAAAUAUGAAUGUACUUCCAUUUUGCUGACAUACUUAUUUUUCAGGAGGGACCUCUUUAUAGCU